AUGGGCGCGGGGGCAGCGGGGCUGGAUGUGGCGGGGGCCGUGCCCGCCAAGCGGAGGCGGGUGCUGGCGGCCAAGACCAGAGUGGGUAGGCCGCGGCAAGCGAGGAGGCGCGCGCAGCCGCAGCCGCCGACGCCGCUGCAGCGGCUCUUUCGGGCCUGCCGCGCUGUCUUCAGGGGCCCCGGCACCGUGCCCGCGCCACCCGAGGUCGCCCUGCUCCGGGCCAUGCUCGACAGAAUGAGGCCAGAGGACGUCGGCCUGAGCCCAGACAUGAGAUUCUUCAGGACUAGAGACAAUACGGCCCAAGGGAACCCAACCAUCACACACACCACCAUAUACAAAUCUGACAAUUUCUCGAUGGUCAUCUUGUUCCUGCCGCAAAAUGCGGUCAUCCCUCUACACAAUCACCCCGGGAUGACCGUGUUCAGCAAGCCGCUCAUCGGAUCGAUGCAUAUAAAGUCGUACGACUGGGCCGAUCCUGAUGAUGAUCCAGCCGCCUCAUCGCCCGACGAUCAACUGAGGUUGGCGGAGCUGGUUGUGGAUGAUCUCUUCACGGCGCCUUGCAACACGUCGGUCCUCUACCCGACGGCGGGAGGCAACAUGCACCGUUUCACGGCCAUCGCGCCAUGCGCCAUCCUCGACAUCCUUGGCCCCCCUUACUCCAUCGAAGAGGACCGAGAUUGCACCUACUACGCGGAUGUUCCCUACUCCUCCCAGCAUCCCAAAGGCCGGCGCCUCGCGUGGCUGAAAGAGGUCGACAUGCCGAGGGAUCUGAAGAUGUGCAGCGUUCGGUAUGGUGGCCCGCGGAUCUCCGACAGGUGA
rnacentral:rRNA from 1 species